ensembl:lncRNA
GGGGUAGAAAGAAGAGAGAACAAGCCAAGAGAAACCCAAGGAACAAGGCAGUAAGCAGCACCCACUUCGUGGCCUCUGCAUCAGCUCCUGCCCCCGAGUUCCCACCCUGUUUGAGUUCCUACCUUGGCUUUCCCCCACAGGCUGGGUGGUUUGGGAUGUGGUGGCCAGAGAAACGUUUCGCUUUUGGUCAUGGUGUUUCAGCAGUAGUAACCCUGACUAAGAUACUGUGGGCCUCCCCUCAAACUAGCACAGAUGUUUGGGCAGCAGCCAUGGCCUGCGCCUGCCCACGUUGCAGGAACUGGCCUGAGCCAGCUCAGGGAACCUGCUCCACUCACCUCAGUAGAGCUUAGUCUCUGGCUCUGGAGGGGAAAAACCUCUCCAACUGAUAACGAAGAUCUAAAAGGACGAGGACAUGCGUCUGUAACUCCACUUUCCAGGGCCACAUGCUCUCUUCUGACUGUCAAUGGCACCAGGCACACUUGGGGUGUACAUACAUGCAUGCAGGCAAAACAUUCAUACAGGUAAAAUGACAUCAGUAAAUCUCGGAGAAUAAGAAUGAAUUAAAGUUGAAGUGAGGAGCUGGGCAUGUAGCCCAGUUGAGAAAGCGGUUGCCGAGCGUACAGGAAGCCAUGGGCUCCCCAGGACCGCUUAAACUAGGUGUGAUCAUGCUCAUCUCUAAUCAGCACUCCAGAGGUGGGAGGCAGGAAGAUCAGACGUUCAAGGCCAUCCUUGGCUACUUACCACGUUGAAGGUAGCCUGGGAUACGUGAGACAAUACCUCAAAUGAAUGAAAACUAAUGAUAGGCUAAGGAGGAGUGACACGCUAGAGGUCAGUUCCAGGCCGGUCUUCAGGGACCUUCUCUAGACCUGGGAACUUAGCUGACUACAUGGCUGCCUGGGUUGAUUUACUGUAGAACCCCUGGCCACUACAGCGAGUAGAAAAUACCCGGUUCUUUGGUGAUGACCAAAUCUACCAUUACAAUAAACCUGAAACAUAUUGCCUAGGCUUUUCUUGGUUCCUUGUUCACACACUCUAGGUUCUUGGUUCCUCAUUUGCAUAGUCCAGGUUCUUGGUUCCUCAUUUGCAUAGUCCAGGUUUUGGUUUCUCAUGUACAUAUUCCAGGUUCUUGGUUCCUCUCUUACAUACUCCAGGUUCUUAUGCCUCAUUUGCAUACUCCAGGUUCUUACUCCUCAUUUACAUAAUCCAGGUUCCUAUUCCUCAUUUGCAUACUCCAGGUUCUUACUCCUCAUUUACAUAAUCCAGGUUCCUAUUCCUCAUUUGCAUACUCCAGGUUCUUACUCCUCAUUUACAUAAUCCAGUUUCCUAUUCCUCAUUUGCAUACUUCAGGUUUUUUGGUUUCUCGUGUACAUCUUCCAGGUUCUUGGUUCCUCACAUACUCCAGGUUCUUAUGCCUCAUUUGCAUAUUAUAGGUUCUUGGUGCUUCAUUUGCAUAUUUCAAGUUCUUGGUUCCUCAUUUGCAUACUUCAGGUGUGGGUGGUACCUCUUCAGCUUUGGCUGUUUUCCUCUGAUGGUCUGAUUGCGGGUGUAUUAGUUUUGGUUAAAUGUCAGUUGUGUGUUUGUAGACUAGAUAACACCCUUACACUCUCAUUCCUGAGGGCUCUCCACUGUGUUUCUGAGACUAGGUCUCUCAUUGGCCUCCAUCUUACCAAGCUGGCUAUGGACUGACUGGUUAAGCCCCAGACUGUCUUUCUCCCCAUUGCAAGCUUGCACUGGCUGCUUGGCUUGUUUCCUUCCUCAACUGAGCAAUUUCCUCUUCAUUCUUGAGGUCUGAGCUUUCUGUACACCGGUCUCAACCUCAGACAGACCUGUGGUGUUGCAUCUUUACUAGAUCUGUCUGCUUGAAAAAGACAGCUUCCGUGACCACCUGGUGCUUGACCUCCCUGGGAUCUGUGCCAGGGUCUUCCUGUCUAGCUAGAGAGAUCUUCCCACAGCUUCCUGGGCACUGCUGUGGUUCUGUGUCCUGAGAGCCCAAGACCUUUCUUCCUUAUCCCCAACCCACAAAUUAUCUCAGCCUGCAAGACCCAGCAUUGGUCUCCUCAGCCUUGGCUCUGUCAUCAUCAUGGGCCUUGUAAUUGGGUUGAGAAGGGCUGACCUGUUAAAUGCCUGCUGCCAAUGAGAGUUCCCCAUCUUGGGGGCGCGCGCGCACACACACACACACACACACACACACACACACACACACACACACCUCCAGAGCUGAAUGGGUAAGAACUAUGCUUGGUGCUCUUCCAGAGGACCCAGGUUUGGUUUCUACCAUCAUGUUGAAUCUCAUAACUGCCCAUCCCUCCAGCUCCUGGGAUAUGACACCUCUUCUGGAUCCAUUAGGCGGCGCCUACACUCACAUGAAUACACAUAUACUUACAUACAGGUGCACAUAAUUAAAAUUUUUUAAAAUGUUUUUUAAU